AUUGAACGCUGGCGGCAGGCCUAACACAUGCAAGUCGAGCGGAGCGGCGGACGGGUGAGUAAUGCCUAGGAAUCUGCCUGGUAGUGGGGGAUGACGUCCGGAAACGGGCGAUAAUACCACAUAAUAUCAGAUGAGCCUAGGUCGGAUUAGCUAGUUGGUGGGGGAAAGGCCUACCACGGCGACGAACCGUAACUGGUAUGAGAGGAGGAUCAGUAACCCUGGAACUGAGACACGGUGCAGACUCCUACGUGAGGCAGCAGUGGGGAAUAUUGGACAAUGAGCGAAAUCCUGAUCCAGCCAUGCCGCGUGAGUGAAGAAGGUCUUCGGAUUGUAAAGUACUUUAAGUUUGGAGGCGUUACCAACAGAAUAAACACCGGCUAACUUCGUGCCAGCAGCCGCGGUAAUAC
rnacentral:rRNA from 1 species